rnacentral:lncRNA from 1 species
GGGAAAGGCAGGGGUUAGAGAAAACAGGGAGCUGUUAGCUGCUACAGUCAAUGAACCGGUGGCUCGGGGAGAUUGUGACUACCCAAGGCCACACAGCUGCUCAGGGAGAAGGGAGGUAAAGUCUGCAAUGACCCUGAGAGGGAGGCAGGACUGGUACGGAUCGCUGCAUUUUGCAGAUGAGGAGCCCAAGGCACGAAGACACUGUGUGACUUACCUGACUCCCGUGUGUUCUUGCAGCAACCAAGGCAUUAACCGUAGGAGAAUCCCUCCUAUGGCUUCUAACCAGACAAUUCUCCUUAGUCUGGGGCUGCCUCUGCUUCUGACAGAGCACCUGGAAGAUACUCUCACCUGAAAACCCCACCUCAGACACCUUGAAACGCCCCCCACCGCAGGCUAACUGCCUUCUUUCCUGCUGAGGGGAAGCUCCGAGCUCACACAGUGGCAGGGCCACGCCGUCCUUCUUUCUCCCCCUCAGCUGACCGACCGCACCAAAGAAACCAGAACCCAAGCCGAAGUAUCAGAAACGUG